rnacentral:lncRNA from 1 species
AGAUAAAAUAAACUAGAGGCUCUAAAGAGCCUGUGUCGCUCACCUUGGUCUAUGUGAAUAUUAAACAAAGGAAGCAGAUAGAUUCAUGACAAAAUUGUGUUUUGGUGAUGGUGAUGUGUUUGUACAUCUUACUUUACUGAACAUUCUUGCUACUUACAAUUAUCUCUAUCUAUAAUGAACUUGGCCCAGUAGUUUCAGUGGAAAAUGUUAGUUAAAAUUUACAAAUUUUAUGAAAAUUGUUAAAAAUUGACUAUAAAGGACAAUAACUCCUUAGGGGUCAAUUGACCAUUUCCGUCAUGUUGACUUAUUUGUAAAUCUUACUUUGCUUAACAUUAUUGAUGUUUACAGUUUAAUCUAUCUAUAAUAAUAUUCAAGAUAAUAACCAAAAACAGCAAAAUUUCCUUAAAAUUACCAAUUCAGGGGCAGCAACCCAACAACAGGUUGUCAGAUUCAUCUGAAAAUUUCAGGGCAGAUAGAUCUUGACCUGAUAAACAAUUUUACCCCCAUGUCAAAUUUGCUCUAAAGGCUGCGGUUUCAGAGUUAUAAGCCAAAAUCUACAUUUCACCUCUAUGUUCUAUUUUUAGCCAUGGCCGCCAUCUUGGUUGGUUGGCCAGGUCACGGGACACAAUUUUUAAACUAAUUACCCCAAUGAUGAUUGUGGCCAAGUUUGGUUUAAUUUGACCCAGUAGUUUCAGAGGAGAAGGUUUUUGUAAAAGAUAACUAAGAUUUACAAAAUGGUUAAAAAUUGACUAUAAAGGGCAAUAACUCCUAAAGAAAUCAACAGACCAUUUUGGUCCUGUUGACUUAUUUGUAGAUCUUACUUUGCUGAACAUUUUUGCUGUUUACAGUUUAUCUCUAUCUAUAAUAAUAUUCAAGAUAAUAACCAAAAACAGCAAAAUGUCCUUAAAAUUUACCAAUUCAGGGCAGCAACCUAUCAACGGGUUGUCCAAUUCAUCUCAAAAUUUCAGGGCAGAUAGAUCUUGACCUGAUAAACAAUUUUACCUGAUGACAGAUUUGCUCUAAAUGCUUUGGUUUUUGAGUGAUAAGCCAAAAACUGCAUUUUACCCCUAUGUUCUAUUUUUAGCCAUGGCGGCCAUCUUGGUUGGCUGGCCAGUUCACCGGACACAUUUUUUUAACUAGAUACCCCAAUGAUGAUUGUGGUCAAGUUUGGUUUAAUUUGGCCCAGUAGUUUCAGAGGAGAAGAUUUUUGUAAAAGAUGACCAAGAUUUACGAAAAAAUGGUUAAAAAUUGACUAUAAAGGGCAAUAACUCCUAAAGGGGUCAACAGACCAUUUUGGUCUUGUUGACUUAUUUGUAGAUCUUACUUUACUGAACAUUUUUGCUGUUUACAGUUUACCUCUAUCUAUGAUAAUAUUCAAGAUAAUAACCAAAAACAGCAAAAUUUCCUUAAAAUUACCAUUUCAGGGGCAGUAACCCAACAACGGAAUGUCCGAUUCAUCUGAAAAUUUCAGGGCAGAUAGAUCUUGACCUGAUGAACAAUAUUACCCCUGUCAGAUUUGCUCUAAAUGCUUUGGUUUUUGAGUUAUAAGCCAAAAACUGCAUUUUACCCCUAUGUUCUAUUUUUAGCCAUGGCGGCCAUCUUGGUUGGUUGGCCGGGUCACCGGACACAAUUUUUAAACUAGAUACCCUAAUAAUGAUUGUGGCCAAGUUUGGUAAAAAUUGGCCCAGUAGUUUCAGAGGAGAAGAUUUUUGUAAAAGCUAACGACGGACGACGACGACGACGACGACGGACGACGACGACGGACGACGGACGACGGACGACGGACGACGGACGCCGGACGCCGGACGCCAAGUGAUGAGAAAAGCUCACUUGGCCUUUGGGCCAGGUGAGCUAAAAAAUG